rnacentral:lncRNA from 1 species
ACAAAUUGGAACAAAAGAGGAACAGUCUGAUCUGCAAGACAGCCUGUUCUGUGCCUCUAGCUUCCCUUGCAUAACAAAUUGGAACACCAUUAGGUCCAUACUCUAGGAUGCACUUACAAAUGGUGACAUAAUUUAGCAACAAAGUACGCAAGACUCACUGAACACCCGCAAACAAUCUCCUGCAUGGAUUUAGUCAUCUCUGGGUUUAGUCUGCUCCUCCCAUAACGUAUAUCAAACCCUAUCUCCCAAGAAUACAUGUUGAAGAAGUCAUAUCUCUGACACCGCGAGUUGGAACUACUCCCUCCGUCCCAUAAUUUAAGACGUUUUUUGACAUUACACUAGGGUCAAAAAACAUCUUACAUUAUGGGACGGAGGGAGUAAUUCCUGUUAAACAUCAUUAUGUACAGGAGAUAUGGUUCGGUUGGUGCGGCUCGGUGCAGCAUGGAGAUAAGUCUAGGAAGUAGUUUGUAUAGAGAUAUUCUUGUAGCUAUCUUCUCUUUAUCUUCUCUUUCUUGUUUCCCAAGAUGUACCGAUCUAUCUCUCUUAUCUCUUCUCUCCUGAGAUCGCAUGUAAUCUUCUCCUCCGCAAUAUAUAAACGCACGUUGCCCCUCGUCAAGGGUAAAACGUUUUCCGCUCGCACAUGGUAAUCAGAGCCCCUCUUCUUCAUCUCAUCUAGCUACCAGAACCACCUGUGUCGAAGCCUCACCAUGUCUUUCUCCUCCGGCGCUUCCUUCCAUCCUAGCCUCAAUGGCCAGGUCAUCGAGAAGCUAUCCCGCAUGAACUACGUGCUAUGGCGCACGCAGAUCAUACCGCAGCUGCGUGGCGCCGGGGUCUUCGGCUACGUCGACGGCACCCAUCCGGAGCCGGCGCGCCUCCUCGUCACCACCAAGGAAGGCAAGGAGACAUCAACGCCCAACCCUCUCCACCCGAUCUGGGUCCGAGAGGACCAACAGGUCCUCGGCUACCUGCUGAGCAACCUCACCAAGGAGGUGCUCCUCACGGUGACCACGGUCACCAGCGCGGGCGCGCUCUGGACGACGCUCGCGGGCAUGUACUCGUCGCAAUCGGUGAGUCGAAUCAACAACAUCCGUACCUCUCUCAUCAAUGCGCAGAAGGGCCACCUCUCCGUCGCCACCUACUUCGCCACCAUGCGCGGCUACGUCGAUGAGCUGGCUGCGGCGGGCAAGGCCAUCCUCGACAACGAGCUCAUCUCCUACAUCAUCCACGGGCUCGACGCCGACUACCAGCCGCUGGUCUCUGCCCUAGAUGCCCGCGUCACGCCCGUCACCAUCGAUGAGCUCUUCGCCAUGCUGUCAAACUUUGACCAGCGGAUGGCACACUUCCAUGGCAACGGCGGCGGCAGCUUCAAGUCCUCCGCGAACUCGGCGUCUCGUGGUCAUGGUGGCUUCUCUCGCCGCGGCGGUGGCGGCCGUGGCAGGGGAAGGUUUGGCAGCGGCAACGGCGGCGUCUCCAACACCCGCAACGGCGGGCGCAACUCCAACAAAAAUCGCCGCGGCGGUGGCAACCCUCGUGCACGUCCCGACGCUCCGCGGUGCCAGAUAUAUGGCAAGGUGGGGCACACAGCAAAAGAUUGCUGGUACCGCUAUGAAGAGGAUGAGGACUCCUCUCAAGAUGAUGACAAGGUGGUGGCAGCCGCGGAUGGCUCCUACGGAGUAGACACAAACUGGUAUGUCAACAGUGGCGCCACCAACCACAUCACCAACGAGCUCGAGAAGGUGACCAUGAAGGAGAAGUACCAUGGCAAAGACCAAAUCCACACAGCUAGUGGUGAAGGUAUGGAGAUCCGUCACAUUGGUCAUUCAAGUUUUAGUACCCUUUCUCGUAGAAUUCAUCUUAGGAAAAUUUUGCAUGUUCCUAGAGCCGACAAAAGUCUUCUUUCUGUCCACAAAAUUGCUCUUGACAAUCAUGUCUUCCUUGAAUUUCACCCCUUUUUCUUUUUGAUCAAGGAUCAGGCGACGUAGAAAAUUCUCUAUCGAGGUAGAUGCGUUCGUGGGCUCUACCCGUUGAUUCCGGAGCUUAGGAGACUAAAUAAAUAAGCUUGUGGUGCUAUCAAGCUCUCAUCCACACGAUGGCAUGAUCGUUUAGGACAUGCUUCUUUUUCCUUAGUUGAAAAAUUACUUAGAAAGAAUAAGCUCCCGUUUGUUGGUGAGCGCAAUAUUGAAACUAUUUGUGAUUCCUGUCAACGUGCUAAGAGUCAUAAGCUACCCUAUCCUAUAUCAACUAGUGUGUCUACCAAACCACUGCAAUUAAUUUUUUCGAUGUUUGGGGUCUUGCCCCCAACUCAGUUGGUAGACAUACGUAUUAUGUGAGCUUUAUUGAUGACUACAGUAAAAUUUCUUGGAUUUAUCUACUUAAGAAAAGAUCCGUUGUCUUUCAAGUCUUUAAAAAUUUCCAAGCCCUCAUUGAACGCAAGUUUGACAGCAAGAUACUUGCUGUCCAAUCGGACUGGGGGGGGAGGAGUAUGAGAAAUUAAACUCUUUCUUUCAAACUGUUGGCAUCUCCCAUCUUGUGUCAUGCCCUCACGCUCACCAACAAAACGGCUCAGCUGAACGCAAGCACAGGCACAUCGUUGAGGUUGACUUAGCUCUCUUAGCUGGCGCCUCCAUGCCUCUUAAAUUCUGGGAUGAAGCUUUUCUCACUGCCAUUCAUAUCAUUAACAUGCUUCCCAGUUGUGUCAUUAAUAAUGAAACUCCAGUAGAACGACUCCUUCACACCAAACCUGAUUACACAUCUCUUCGUGUCUUUGGGUGUGCAUGUUGGCCCAAUCUUCGUCCAUAUAAUCAACGCAAACUCAUGUUUCGCUCAAAACAAUGUGUGUUUCUUGGAUACAGUGUUCAACACAAAGGUGUAAAAUGCCUUGAUGUGUCUACGGGACGAGUAUAUAUUUCCCGUGAUGUUGUUUUUGACGAAACAAAAUUCCCGUUUGCUGCCCUUCAUCCCAACGUAGGUGCCCUGCUUCGAAAAGAAAUUCUUCUCUUGCCAUCUCAUCUCACUGGCCUUGAUCAUGGGGGAAAUACUUGUGAUGAUUCAAUGCUGACUAACCCUCCUAAUGGCACAGACGAGUCUUCUGGUGAUGUUGCAGGAAAAAUCAGCGACGAAAACAGCGCAGAACUCGGUUUCCAGGCGCCAUAUUUGCUGUGUCACGGAUCAGGGAGCAAAUCCCCUUCGGGAUCAGCGCCAGAUCAGGCGCCCAGGCGAUCCGCACCGGGAUCAGCGCCCGUAGACGCGUCAGCCCCGACCGCAGCAGAAUCUGCUGCGCGUGCGGGCUCCCAUGGCUCCGCGCCUGCCACGCGCCAGUUUGCGGCUGGCGGAAGCCCCGCCUCGUCUCCGCGCCAAUCGCCAGAUGCCAUGUGGCAGCACCCUGAUGGCCCAGGCGGGGCGCGGUUUGGUGACCAACCGCGGUGCUACACGAGGCGGGCCCAGGCGGAGCUGACCGGCGCGGAACCCAGCGUCCAGGUGCGGCCGACAGGCGUGGAAUCUCGUGCUGAUUCGCCUGUCCAGGAGGACGCGGGAUCUGGUGCAGAUCUACGGGGCCCCGCGCAAUCAUGGGCUCGUGAUGAGCCGACCGGUGCGCCGGGAUAUUCUACGGCUGCUGCGACGUCUCCAUCAACUACUGAAGCCACAGAAGAUCCCGUGCAGCUGGCGGGCGAAUCUGUCUCGGGAUCGCCCAUGGCAGGAACUCCUGUGUGCGAUUAUGGAUCCUUUGCGCCAGUUGACUCUGCAGCACAAUCUCGGCGGUUCACCCGGCUGCAAAAAGGUGUAACUAAACCGCUCAAUUAUAAACAUAUGAGCAAAUAUGGUCUCGUCUGUUCCGGUACAGAUGCACAAGUUGAACCCAGAACUUUGGACGAGGCCUUUGGAGAUGAAAAGUGGAGAAAAGCAAUGAUGGAAGAAUUUAUGGCACUGAAAAAAGAAUAAAACAUGGCACCUAGUUCCCCCACGGCAAGGUAAAAAUCUCAUAGACUGCAAGUGGGUGUUCAGAGUUAAGAGAAAAUCUGAUGGAACUGUUGACAGAUACAAGGCAUGGCUUGUUGCCAAAGUUUUUAAAUAGAGAUAUGGGAUUGAUUAUGAGGAUACAUUCAGUCUAGUUGUGAAAGCUGCUACCAUUCGUCUUGUUCUGUCUAUUGCUGUCUCUAGGGGAUGGAGUCUCAGACAGCUAGAUGUACAGAAUGCGUUCCUUCAUGGUGUUCUGGAAGAAGAGGUCUACAUGAAACAGCCUCCUGGGUUUGAGAGUAAGUCUAAUCCAUCAUUUGUGUGCAAACUUGAUAAAGCACUCUAUGGCUUGAAGCAAGCACCAAGAGCGUGGUACUCACGUCUCAGUCACAAGAUGCAAUCACUUGGUUUUGUUCCUUCCAAGUCAGACACCUCACUGUUUAUUUACAAUAAGCUCAGUACAUGCAUAUUUUUUCUCAUCUAUGUUGAUGAUAUUAUUGUUACAAGCUCAUCUAGUGAGGCCAUUGCAUCAUUGUUGAAGGAUCUAAGUGCGGAAUUUGCUCUCAAGGAUCUUGGAGAUUUGCAUUUUUUCCUUGGGAUUGAAGUGAAGAAACACAAAGAUGGACUUCAUCUCUCUCAAGAGAAAUAUGCAACUGAUGUGGUAAGAAAGGCAGGUCUGCAAGGUUGUAAACCAUCAUUCACUCCAUUAUCCAGCACAGAAAAAUUAUCUCUUACAGAAGGGCAACUCUUGAAUCAAGAGGACAGUACAAAGUACCGGAGCUUAGUAGGUGCACUUCAGUACUUGACUUUAACAAGGCCUGAUAUUUCUUUUGCUGUUAACAAGGUAUGUCAGUUCUUGCAUGCUCCUACUACUGUGCAUUGGACUGCUGCAAAACGCAUUGUCAGAUAUGUGAAACAUACCUUGAGCAUUGGUCUUAGUUUCAGCAAGUCAUCUUCAACUCUUGUCAGUGCCUUUUCUGAUUAUGACUGGGCAGGCUGUCUGGAUGACAGACGCUCUACUGGUGGAUUUGCAAUAUUUUUUGGACCAAAUUUGAUUUCGUGGUGUGCAAGAAAACAGGCUACAGUGUCUAGAUCUAGCACAGAGGCAGAAUACAAGGCCUUAGCAAAUGCCACAGCUGAAAUUAUAUGGGUUCAGUCAAUGUUAAAGGAACUUGGUAUACGCAGUUCUCAAGCUCCAUGUCUGUGGUGUGACAAUCUUGGUGCCACCUACUUGUCUGCAAAUCCAGUCUUUCAUGCCAGAACAAAGCAUAUAGAGAUAGAUUUUCACUUUGUCAAAGAAAGAGUUGCACAAAAACAGCUUGAUAUUCGGUUUAUUCAUUCUAGAGAUCAAGUUGCAGAUGGAUUUACUAAAGCCCUGCCUAUGCGAAGCUUUGAAGAAUUUAAGCAUAAUCUCAACCUCAUGAAGUUGUGAUUAAGGGGGUGUGUUAAACAUCAUUAUGUACAGGAGAUAUGGUUCGGUCGGUGCGGCUAGGUGCAUCAUGGAGAUAAGUCUAGGAAGUAGUUUGCAUAGAGAUAUUCUUGUAACUAUCUUCUCUUUAUCUUCUCUUUCUUGUUUCCCAAGAUGUACCGAUCUAUCUCUCUUAUCUCUUCUCUCCUGAGAUCGCAUGUAAUCUUCUCCUCCGCAAUAUAUAAACGCACGUCGCCCCUCGUCAAGGGUAAGACGUUUUCCGCUCGCACAAUUCCCAGUUCCGGCCUAAUUGCACUCUGAUGGUUCCUCGGCGUAUUUCCUGAUCGAUUUCUCAUGAGCGCUAAUUCGGGAAUCUCAAGGAUUCUGUCUGGAGGUGCACUACCAAGGCGAAGCCUUAAAACCAUUUCCACAGUUAACAAGCCAAGCAUAAAUCAGGAGUAUGCAAACCACGAAAUAUGCUAUAUUUAUUUUGCUGCACCCCAAACAAGACAAUAUACUCCUUUGCUGGAACACGUUGCUACAGAGUCUGCAAUUCUACCCAGCACACACUCUACGGAAUCGGUGGUUCAGAGAUACAACUAAGAAGAGCAGCAACCAUGUUACCUCUUCAUCCAGCCCGGUGCUUCCGGCUUCACCUUCCCCGUGGACUGGACAGACUGCGUCAACGAUGCAUUCUUCCUUCGCCGCACUUCUUCUCCGCUUCUGGUCGGAAGUCCCGCAUUGAGCGCACACCCGGUGGCGCCACUAUAUUCAGCUCCAGCCGAGGAUUCGGCUGCACCCCGUGGGAGCAGCGCCAGGGGCACAGGAUUCGGCUGCUUCAAGCUGUCGGCGAACUCCUCCUUUAGAUCUCAGAGGAAACCUGCCGGGAACACCACCGACGGAACACAAAAUCAAUCUACCGUAAAAGUGGAAUCUGGAGGCGAGAACAAGAGGGAUUAGCUCACCUAUCUGCCGGAUCGAGUAAGAACUCCAACCCGUUCGAUUCCAGUUGCGGUCGUCGGAGAAACUACACGUCGCCGCAGGUCCUGAUGCAACAUCCUGUGCCA